rnacentral:rRNA from 1 species
UACGUAGGGGGCUAGCGUUGUCCGGAAUCAUUGGGCGUAAAGAGCGUGUAGGCGGUCCGGUAAGUCCGUUGUGAAAGUCAGGGGCUCAACCCUUGAAUGCCGGCGGAUACUGUCGGGCUAGAGUCCGGAAGAGGCGAGUGGAAUUCCCGGUGUAGCGGUGAAAUGCGCAGAUAUCGGGAGGAACACCUAUGGCGAAGGCAGCUCGCUGGGACGGCACUGACGCUGAUACGCGAAAGCGUGGGGAGCGAACAGG